rnacentral:lncRNA from 1 species
UGUGUUGAGGUCACUGGUCACACGUUCCUCCAUACACAAACUCUGUGUUGAGGUCACACGUUCCUCCAUACACAAACUCUGUGUUGAGGUCAAUGGUCACAUGUUCCUCCAUACACAAACUCUGUGUUGAGGUCAAUGGUCACAUGUUCCUCCACAC